rnacentral:lncRNA from 1 species
CUGUAGUGAGCGGAUGUUUUGGAACAGUUCCGGAUCACGGGUUCCGGCAUAAAACACUGGCCCAAGAGGAUUGUGGGAUCGCCAUCUUCGUUCGUAUGGCAGCCAUAUUUGUUGUCAUUCCGAAGCGACAGCCAAAUCCGUUGUAUUAUAUAGCUAAAAGCAGCCAUCCAUCCUUUUGAAUGCAGACCGGUUAUAUGUCCAGGGCCAGUCCCCUUGGAUGUAAUGGACUCAAAAGAUAGUUCCAAGAGUCAGGUUGGCAAGCACAGCCAACCUUGGCAGCAGUUCUCUCGCCAAACCAGCUGAGAAGAGUAAGUACCAACUCACCUUGCUGGAAAAAACAACCAGUAUUGAUGUAGAUCCCAGCUAUUCUACACCUACAAGGCUCUCCUUUUUAGGGUGGGGAGGAGUGUAGUGAGCGGAUGUUUUGGAACAGUUCCGGAUCACGGGUUCCGGCAUAAAACACUGGCCCAAGAGGAUUGUGGGAUCGCCAUCUUCGUUCGUAUGGCAGCCAUAUUUGUUGUCAUUCCGAAGCGACAGCCAAAUCCGUUGUAUUAUAUAGCUAAAAGCAGCCAUCCAUCCUUUUGAAUGCAGACCGGUUAUAUGUCCAGGGCCAGUCCCCUUGGAUGUAAUGGACUCAAAAGAUAGUUCCAAGAGUCAGGUUGGCAAGCACAGCCAACCUUGGCAGCAGUUCUCUCGCCAAACCAGCUGAGAAGAGUAAGUACCAACUCACCUUGCUGGAAAAAACAACCAGUAUUGAUGUAGAUCCCAGCUAUUCUACACCUACAAGGCUCUCCUUUUUAGGGUGGGGAGGAGUGUAGUGAGCGGAUGUUUUGGAACAGUUCCGGAUCACGGGUUCCGGCAUAAAACACUGGCCCAAGAGGAUUGUGGGAUCGCCAUCUUCGUUCGUAUGGCAGCCAUAUUUGUUGUCAUUCCGAAGCGACAGCCAAAUCCGUUGUAUUAUAUAGCUAAAAGCAGCCAUCCAUCCUUUUGGUGAGUCCUUUAAAUUUCCUAGGUAGUUUUAGCAUA